rnacentral:lncRNA from 1 species
UGAUAUUGAGCAAGCUGAGUUAUGGGCUAUUUAUGAUGGCCUCUAGUUUGCAUGGAAGGAAAAAUAGAAAAAUGUCAUUGUAGAAACGGAUUGUGUUUUUGCUAUUGAAUCUAUUCAGGGUAGAUUUCAAGGCCAACGAAAUAGAGAUUUAGCUUUAAGAAUUAUGGAACUGUGUCGAAGACAGUCGAGGGUAGAGAUC